AACGUAGGAGACAAACGUUAUCCGGAGUUACUGGGCGUAAAGGGCGUGUAGGUGGUUUAGUAAGUCUGGCGUGAAAUUUUUCGGCUUAACCGGGAAAGGUCGUCGGAUACUGCAAGACUAGAGGACGGUAGAGGCGUGUGGAAUUCCGGGUGUAGUGGUGAAAUGCGUAGAGAUCCGGAGGAACACCAGUGGCGAAGGCGACACGCUGGGCCGUACCUGACACUGAUGCGCGACAGCAUGGGGAGCAAACAGG
rnacentral:rRNA from 1 species